GUGCUCACAUUAGCAGCAUAUAUACUAAAAUUGGAGCAAUACAGAGAUUAGCAUGGUCCCUGCACAAGAAUGACAAGCAAAUUUGUGAAGCACUCCACAAUUUU
ensembl:snRNA U6 U6 spliceosomal RNA